rnacentral:lncRNA from 1 species
UCUCUUGUACGCCAUGCAACGCUAUAGUUCCCACAAAAGCAAAGGCUACCAAAACAUAUUGUUCUUAGCUCUUGAAGUGCUCGAUUACGUAGCAUGGCUCGAAGUUUACGUCAGCAACUGAAUAUAAGACCUGCGAAAAUUGUUUCAUCUAGUUUUCAUCUGACCAAUAUUCAGUGAUGGCGCCGAAAUCGUUGCUUUUCGCCCUUUGUGUAUUGGCCCUUGUCCUCAUGGCUUAUUCUGGACAACAUCAGUGCGGCCAGCAGUGCCAGGUCGACCGUACCUCAGCAGGCAUUCAUUGCCCCACUGGGUGCACGUGCAUUCUGAACCCUAAUGUAAACUAUUAUAAAAACAAAAAUCGGGGUGUCGGAUUAUGCGUGCCCAAGAAAACCGGCAGGUUCACCGGCACUGGUUAAAUGCGGUGAUAAAGGAGGAACACGAAGAAAUGAACCCUUUCAUCCACACUUGUUUAACCUGCUACUAAACACGUGCAUGUUCAGCAGUACAAUGCGCGACAUGUUUAAUUUCGACCAGUUGCUCAAUUUGUUUUCAUAUAUCGUCCCUAUGGCUUGCACAGGGCAAAAUGCGUUAUGCAAUUCACCAUCUUUACUGCUUUAUAUAUACUAUUAAAUAACAUGCAUAGGCAGGUUUUCAUGUAUUUCUGCUUGCGCCGUUUUGGUCUAAUAAAUUAAGUGGCUGUUAUAUUUACCGAGGCUCACCUUUUUAUUUAAUAAAGUUCCUCCAGCAUUUGUAUGUCGCUUUUGCAUUUGUGGGGCCAGUUCACCUCAAGUGUUUUAUGAAGGCCGGAUGUGACUGGACUAUAGUAUGCUCGCUAAGAAGAAUAUCCUUUAGUGGCAGUUCUAACUAGAGGUCAUGUGCUUAAUAGAGGAUUUAUUAGGAAUGUAGGGGGUGUUCCAAUGAACUUAUAAUUGUCUGUUGAUCGCUAUUUGUCAUUUCAUAUUGAUUUUACUAUCUAUAUGAAUGAUAUUGUCGAGGAGUCGUGACGUCGACAAAGGCAGCAGUCGGU